rnacentral:rRNA from 1 species
UACGUAGGGUGCAAGCGUUAAUCGGAAUUACUGGGCGUAAAGCGUGCGCAGGCGGUUUUGUAAGUCAGAUGUGAAAUCCCCGGGCUCAACCUGGGAAUGGCGAUGGAGACUGCAAGGCUAGAAUCUGGCAGAGGGGGGUAGAAUUCCACGUGUAGCAGUGAAAUGCGUAGAGAUGUGGAGGAACACCGAUGGCGAAGGCAGCCCCCUGGGUCAAGAUUGACGCUCAUGCACGAAAGCGUGGGGAGCAAACAGG